CGAAAAUACUGAAAUAAUAGAGUUGCUGUGUUAAAUUUAAUCAGGCAUUUGUUUAGCCAUUUUCUCAACAGAGGUUGAUCCUCACCAUACUGCAGCUACUGAGAAGACCUACCCCGCAUAGAGAUCAACAGGACAUACUGGACGCCUGGUUCCAGAAUUCUGACAGAUUUCAAACACCACUUCAUGAAGAACUUCCCCUAUGGCCUGCUGGAGGUGGCAAGACACAAG